UCCCUGGUGGCUCAGAUGGUAAAGCGUCUGCCUACAAUGCGGGAGACCCGGGUUCAAUCCCUGGGUGGGGAA
rnacentral:tRNA from 1 species